rnacentral:misc_RNA from 1 species
AUGGACUAUGGAACAUAAUAAAUCACCGUGAUUGAAAGGAGUCAAAUACAUUGCAACUGUCCAAUUACACCUACAAAUGAACUUACAUACCAAGAUUAUAAGGGUAAGAUAUAUCAAAUUUCAAUCAUUUUCCAUUUCUGUGGUGUUUGUUCUAUAAUCACCAACAGCCUUGUCAAAAGUGCUCCUAACAUGAUGGCACAUCAACAUCAAAUUCUGACAUCCAUCUUUCAAUACCUCCCUUGCUGGAUCACCUGAAAAUUUCAUUUAUGUCAUUGAAAUUCACAGCAGAAAUUUGCAGCAGAUGCAUAGUUACUUGAAACGGUGGUCUUGCUAAAGAUUCACAUGGAGUACUAGAAAAUUUCCAACAUAAAAAUAUCAUUUGUAAGGCCAUUGGUCACUUGAGAAUUGUAAAUAUAAUAGUUUUAACUGCAAUUGCUUAGAUCUUAUACAGACAAAUAGUGAGCAUACAUGUGCACAUAUAACAUAAACCUAAGGAAAAAGAAAUUCAAACCAGACUUAUCCCAAGCUGCAUAUUCCUUACCAUCUUAGACCACGUCCAGGGCUAAAUAUGUGUAAAUAGGAUACAAAUAAUUAUUUAAGACGAUGGUGCAAGUUUCCAAAACAGCACUCUAUGUGCUAAUAGCAAGACUCCAAGAGCUCUCGUAAUUAUACAAGAAAAGAAAGUAGACUAUACUUGUAUAUGAACAAUUCACAUGGACCACUUAUCGUUUCUGCUAAUCCAGAACAAUAUCGCAUCACUUCAUACGUUGAAAAACUAUUAAUCUAUCUUUGACAAAUAUCAACUCGUAAAAUAAAGAAUUAGAUGUGGGAAUUCACUUAUAUUACCUUAAGAAAGUCUUACAAAUUACUUUUGCAGCUAAGCCUUAAAGUAGACAAGGUGAGGAUGCAAGUUACCUGUUGUUUGGACUCUAAUAUUAACUCGAGCAUCUGAGGGAUGAGGAAUACUGUAUCCACAGAAUGAUACCCUCGGACUGCAAAACAACAUUAAAAUCUGCUUGAAAAAUUGUUAAACAAAUGGUUUACAGACCAAAACCAUUCCUAUUGAAUUAAAAAUAUUAAAUGGUAAUUGAGUUUACUUUAGUUGCUCAAUUCUAAGGUGAUCAGCCACAACCCAUCACAAGAUGGGUUCUAAUGCAAUUCAAUUAUAUCUUCGCGAAUAAAUGCUCAGGUAUACUUUAGCUACUCAACAUCAUAAAAUCGAAACUGAGGGUAAAGGGCAGUGGAAUUGGCGUGUUGACCCAAUUUUAUUUUCAGGCAGAAAAUACCUUGUUGAGCCAUUGACGAAUUAACAAAUUCUCAAAACAAGUCAUGUCAUACUGCAACAAUAAUUUUUGCAGGCAUAGAAAAAUUUAAGAACCCAGUGCGAAUAACAAACUAAAGAUUUAAGAACACAUAAAAUCUAAGCACCACAGGCAGAGAUUUAAGUAAAAAGAAUGGGUCACUGACUCUUGAUUCAAGGUGAAUCUGACAGCAUUUGCAAGAGUGUGAUCUUCAUCAACGAACGAGAAGGUUGCUCUGCUUGGAUCCUGUAGAGAACCGUGCUCCAUUACCUCUAGUUACUAGACAAGUUAGAGACGGUGUCUAAGAGAGGUGGAUUGGAACGGAAGAUGAUACAUAACCCCCCAAAAGUCCAAAAACCCUAAGCCAGAGUUUGUGUGAUA